GCCGAGGUGGCGGAAUUGGCAGACGCGCACGACUCAAAAUCGUGUGAGGCUAAUACCUCGUGUGGGUUCGACUCCCACCCCCGGCACAA
rnacentral:tRNA from 1 species